UACGAAGGGGGCGAGCGUUGUUCGGAAUUACUGGGCGUAAAGGGCGCGUAGGCGGUGCGCUAAGUCAGGCGUGAAAGCCCUGGGCUCAACCCGGGAAUUGCGCUUGAUACUGGCGUGCUCGAAUCCGGGAGAGGUUGGUGGAAUUCCCAGUGUAGAGGUGAAAUUCGUAGAUAUUCGGCGGAACACCAGUGGCGAAGGCGACUCACUGGCCCGAUACUGACGCUGAUGCGCGAAAGCGUGGGGAGCAAACAGG
rnacentral:rRNA from 1 species